GCAUAUCAAUAAGCGGAGGAAAAGAAACCAACCGGGAUUGCCCUAGUAACGGCGAGUGAAGCGGCAAGAGCUCAAAUUUGAAAGCUGGCUCCUUCGGGGUCCGCAUUGUAAUUUGCAGAGGAUGCUUCGGGAGCGGUCCCCAUCUAAGUGCCCUGGAACGGGCCGUCAUAGAGGGUGAGAAUCCCGUCUGGGAUGGGGUGCCCGCGCCCGUGUGAAGCUCCUUCGACGAGUCGAGUUGUUUGGGAAUGCAGCUCUAAUUGGGUGGUAAAUUUCAUCUAAAGCUAAAUAUUGGCCGGAGACCGAUAGCGCACAAGUAGAGUGAUCGAAAGAUGAAAAGCACUUUGAAAAGAGAGUUAAACAGCACGUGAAAUUGUUGAAAGGGAAGCGCUUGCGAUCAGACUCGCCCGCGGGGUUCAGCCGGCAUUCGUGCCGGUGUACUUCCCCGUGGGCGGGCCAGCGUCGGUUUGGGCGGCCGGUCAAAGGCCCCUGGAAUGUAACGCCUCUCGGGGCGUCUUAUAGCCAGGGGUGCCAUGCGGCCUGCCCGGACCGAGGAACGCGCUUCGGCUCGGACGCUGGCAUAAUGGUCGUAAGCGACCCGUCUUGAAACACGGACCAAGGAGUCUAACAUCUACGCGAGUGUUCGGGUGUCAAACCCGUGCGCGCAGUGAAAGCGAACGGAGGUGGGAACCCCCCGGGGUGCACCAUCGACCGAUCCUGAUGUCUUCGGAUGGAUUUGAGUAAGAGCGUAGCUGUUGGGACCCGAAAGAUGGUGAACUAUGCCUGAAUAGGGCGAAGCCAGAGGAAACUCUGGUGGAGGCUCGCAGCGGUUCUGACGUGCAAAUCGAUCGUCAAAUUUGGGUAUAGGGGCGAAAGACUAAUCGAACCAUCUAGUAGCUGGUUCCUGCGA
rnacentral:rRNA from 1 species